UACAGGAGGUCCCGAGCGCUGUUCGGAUUCACUGGGGCGUAAAGGGUGCGUAGGUGGCGAGGAAAGUCGGAUGUGAAAGCUCGGAGCUCAACUCCGAAAUGGCAUUGGAAACUACCUUGCUCGAGGGUUGGAGGGGGGACUGGAAUUCUCGGUGUAGCAGUGAAAUGCGUAGAUAUCGAGAGGAACACCAGUGGCGAAGGCGAGUCCCUGGACAACUCCUGACACUGAGGCACGAA
rnacentral:rRNA from 1 species